rnacentral:rRNA from 1 species
AACGAACGCUGGCGGCAUGCCUAACACAUGCAAGUCGAACGAGAUCUUCGGGUCUAGUGGCGCACGGGUGCGUAACGCGUGGGAAUCUGCCCUUUGGUUCGGAAUAACAGUUGGAAACGACUGCUAAUACCGGAUGAUGACGAAAGUCCAAAGAUUUAUCGCCAGAGGAUGAGCCCGCGUAGGAUUAGCUAGUUGGUGUGGUAAAGGCGCACCAAGGCGACGAUCCUUAGCUGGUCUGAGAGGAUGAUCAGCCACACUGGGACUGAGACACGGCCCAGACUCCUACGGGAGGCAGCAGGGGGGAAUAUUGGACAAUGGGCGAAAGCCUGGUCCAGCAAUGCCGCGUGAGUGAUGAAGGCCUUAGGGUUGUAAAGCUCUUUUACCCGGGAUGAUAAUGACAGUACCGGGAGAAUAAGCUCCGGCUAACUCCGUGCCAGCCGCCGCUGUAA